CCUACGGGAGGCAGCAGUAGGGAAUAUUGCUCAAUGGGGGAAACCCUGAAGCAGCAACGCCGCGUGGAGGAUGAAGGUUUUCGGAUUGUAAACUCCUUUUGUUAGAGAAGAUAAUGACGGUAUCUAACGAAUAAGCACCGGCUAACUCCGUGCCAGCAGCCGCGGUAAUACGGAGGGUGCAAGCGUUACUCGGAAUCACUGGGCGUAAAGAGCGCGUAGGCGGGUUAGCAAGUCAGAUGUGAAAGCCUAUGGCUUAACCAUAGAACUGCAUUUGAAACUGUUAUUCUAGAGGAUGGGGAAGGUAGGUGGAAUUCUUGGGGUAGGGGUAAAAGCGGUAGAGAUCAAGAGGACUACUCAGUGGGAGGGCGGCUUACUGCACCGUAACUGACGUUGAGGCUCGAAAGCGUGGGGAGCAAACAGGAUUAGAUACCCCAGUAGUC
rnacentral:rRNA from 1 species